UACGUAGGCAGCGAGCGUUGUUCGGAAUUACUGGGCGUAAAGAGCGUGUAGGCGGCUCGGUAAGUCCGCUGUGAAAGUCCAGGGCUCAACCCUGGAAUGCCGGUGGAAACUGUCGAGCUAGAGUCCGGAAGAGGCGAGUGGAAUUCCUGGUGUAGCGGUGAAAUGCGCAGAUAUCAGGAGGAACACCAAUGGCGAAGGCAGCUCGCUGGGACGGUACUGACGCUGAGACGCGAAAAGCGUGGGGAGCAAACAGG
rnacentral:rRNA from 1 species